UUGGUGUGAAUUGCAGAAUCCCGUGAACCAUCGAGUCUUUGAACGCAAGUUGCGCCCGAGGCCACCACGGCCGAGGGCACGUCUGUCUGGGCGUCGCAU
rnacentral:rRNA from 1 species